rnacentral:lncRNA from 1 species
AUGAGAUCCGUCAAAUGUCUUUCGCCAUCCACUUUUCUAGUUUGGGUCUCUCCAUGGCUGUCCCCAAGGCCACUGGUUGGUGCAGCUUUCCCGCCCCCCCCCCCCCCCCCCCCCCCCCCCGCGCCCCCCCCCCCCCCCCCCCCCCCCCCCCCGCCCCCGGAUGCCUACGUGCUACCCCAACCAGAACUGCAAAAUUUAGAGACUGGGUACCAAAGAAGUAAGGCGUCCUCAGAAGCGGCUGCAGGAGCCAACGCACUGGACUCCCUCAGCCCACAUCUGUGGAAUUAUAACAUCUGAGGACCUGGUGUGGGAGUGAGGGGACCCAAGCCAUUGCAAAUGGGGGGAAAAGGCAAGCAUAAAACCAAACCAAACUUCAGUCCUCCUUGGGCUGUUCCCAUCAAACAAAUCCAAAAGAAACAUUUUUGUGAGUGUGUUAACUUGGACACUAAAGUAUCAGGCUUUGACUAGGAUGAACUGGGUAUAAUUAGUAUCAAGAUAGGUAGUUUUGCCAGGUGGCCAGAUGAGAGACAUACCUUGGAGAUUGCAGUUCAGGUUGUUUUCCCCUGCAGCUGCAUGCUCACAUGAGCUCAGUCUUGAAACGGUAGAUCUCCAGUAAACAUGGAUGGAGCAGGUAAACAAAGCACUGUUUACCCAAGUGAAUUUUCUUUGUCCUGACAGAGCCAUGUAAAGCUCCUCUUUUGUUUUGUUUUUGUUUUGUUCUUUUAUCAUUUCUUCUUUUUUUGUUUUCUUUCUAUCUAUCUAUCUAUCUAUCAUCUAUCUAUCUAUCUAUCUAUCUAUCUAUCUAUCUAUCUAUCUAUCUAUCUAUAUUUUGUUUGGGAUAAGGUAUCCCUGGCUGUCCUGGAACUCUCUCUGUGAACCAAGGUGGCCUUGAACUCAGGGAUCUGCCUGUCUCUGCCCACUCCAUGUUUAAAUUUUUUAUACUUUAACUCUCUUCCUUUGUAGAAUUUUUGAAGUUAUGGAUUCCUAAAGAUAGGGUACUUUCAAGGAUGAAGCAGAUUCAAGGCUGACUUUGCUGGCUCAUACCUUUUCCCUAUUUUUUUAGGGAUACAGGAUAAAGAGUUACAGGCAUAAGCCCAGCUAACAAAAUGGGCUCACUGGUGAGUCACUUGUCUUUAUAUUUUACUUAAAUAUUCUUUUCUUUUUGAAUGAUAGGGGCCAGUCAAGACAAUAGAGCUACAUAAUCCAAAGAAGGAUCAAACUGAUCACAGUCCUUGUGACCUUUUACCCUUCCUUUAAUUCUCAAUACUGAACAUCUGUGUUUCUUGGUCAAUGCCUGAAAGUAAUAAAGACAAUUAGAGCUUAGAGCA